GGAUACGUCACAAAAUGAGGAAUUAUAAGAGAAGCCAUAUGAAAAAUGUGAAGAGAAUGAAGACACUGUAAAGCAGAAAAUGCUACUCAACUGCUUCUUCAAGUCUCACAAUCUCAAACUUAGGUUUAUAUGUCAAAUCAACAAUCUGAUCCCACAGUAGUGGGAUUGACCCUCUGACCUGAACAAAUGAUGCAGUACAUCCAUUCA
rnacentral:misc_RNA from 1 species